GAUGAAGAACGCAGCGAAAUGCGUUAAGUAGUGUGAAUUGCAGAAUUCAGUGAAUCAUCGAAUCUUUGAACGCACAUUGCGCCUCCUGGUAUUCCGGGAGGCAUGCCUGUUCGAGCGUCAUUAAAAUCACUCAAGCUUAGGUUUACCUAUUGCUUGGUCUUGGAGAUGGAAGCCAAUUUAUUGGAAUCCUCUUCGAAAUUCAAUGGCGAAGACCCUUGCUCUCCCAAGUGUAGUAAUAACUUAUGUCACUGAAGGAAGCGAGAAAUCUUCUGCCGUAACCCCCAUAUUUUCUAUGAUUGACCUCGGAUCAGGUAGGGAUACCCGCUGAACUUAAGCAUAUCAAUAAGCGGAGGA
rnacentral:misc_RNA from 1 species